rnacentral:rRNA from 1 species
AUUCCCAUGACCCGCCGGGCAGCUUCCGGGAAACCAAAGUCUUUGGGUCUGUAAUUGGAAUGAGUCCACUUUAAAUCCUUUAACAAGGACCUAUUGGAGGGCAAGUCUGGUGCCAGCAGCCGCGGUAACUCCAGCUCCAAUAGCGUAUAUUAAAGUUGUUGCGGUUAAAACGUUCGUAGUUGAACUUGUGCUUCAUACGGGUAGUACAACUAUAAUUGUAGUUUGUGCUAUACCUUAUGUAUGUAAGCGUAUUACCGGUGGAGUUCUUAUAUGUAAUUGUAAUACUUGUAUUCUUUACAUAUUCCUCCUAUUUAAACCUGCUUCAAUGCUCUUCAUCGAGUGUUGUUGUGGGCCGGUACAAUUACUUUGAACAAAUUAGAGUGCUUAAAGCAGGCUCCAAAUGCUUGAAUAUUUUGUGCAUGGAAUAAUGAAAUAAGACCUCUGUUCUACUUUCUUUGGUUUUUAGAUCAAGAGGUAAUGAUUAAUAGAAGCAGUUUGGGGGCAUUAGUAUUACGACGCGAGAGGUGAAAUUCUUGGACCGUCGUAAGACUAACUUAAGCGAAAGCAUUUGCCAAAGAUGUUUUCAUUAAUCAAGAACGAAAGUUAGAGGUUCGAAGGCGAUCAGAUACCGCCCUAGUUCUAACCAUAAACGAUGCCAGCUAGCAAUUGGGUGUAGCUACUAUUAUGGCUCUCUCAGUCGCUUCCCGGGAAACCAAAGCUUUUGGGCUCCGGGGGAAGUAUGGUUGCAAAGCUGAAACUUAAAGGAAUUGACGGAAGGGCACCACCAGGAGUGGAGCCUGCGGCUUAAUUUGACUACAACACGGGAAAACUUACCAGGUCCGAACAUAAGCGUGUAAGACAGAUUGAUAGCUCUUUCUCGAAUCUAUGGGUGGUGGUGCAUGGCCGUUCUUAGUUCGUGGAGUGAUUUGUCUGGUUAAUUCCGAUAACGAACGAGACUCAAAUAUAUUAAAUAGAUGCUUUCAGGAUUAUGGUGUUGAAGCUUUUAUGGCCUUCAUUUACGAGCACAGUAAAAUGUGUAAGUGUUUGAAUGUGUUUAUAAAAGUGGAGCCGUACCUGUUGGUUUGUCCUUUUAUAGGACACUAGCUUCUUAAAUAGACAAAUUGCGUCUAGCAAUAAUGAGAUUGAGCAAUAACAGGUCUGUGAUGCCCUUAGAUGUCCUGGGCUGCACGCGCGCUACAAUGAAAGUAUCAACGUGUAUUUCCUAGACCGAGAGGUCCGGGUAAACCGCUGAACCACUUUCAUGCUUGGGAUUGUGAACUGAAACUGUUCACAUGAACUUGGAAUUCCCAGUAAGUGUGAGUCAUUAACUCGCAUUGAUUACGUCCCUGCUCUUUGUACACACCGCCCGUCGCUACUACCGAUUGAAUUAUUUAGUGAGGUCUCCGGACGUGAUCACUGUAACGCAUUUUAUGUGUUGCGGAUGUUUCGCAAAAGUUGACCGAACUUGAUUAUUUAGAGGAAGUAAAAGUCGUAACAAGGUUUCCGUAGGUGAACCUGCGGAAG